rnacentral:rRNA from 1 species
GAUGAACGCUGGCGGCGUGCCUAAUACAUGCAAGUCGAGCGAACAGACGAGGAGCUUGCUCCUCUGAUGUUAGCGGCGGACGGGUGAGUAACACGUGGAUAACCUACCUAUAAGACUGGGAUAACUUCGGGAAACCGGAGCUAAUACCGGAUAAUAUAUUGAGCCGCAUGGUUCAAUAGUGAAAGACGGUUUUGCUGUCACUUAUAGAUGGAUCCGCGCCGCAUUAGCUAGUUGGUAAGGUAACGGCUUACCAAGGCGACGAUGCGUAGCCGACCUGAGAGGGUGAUCGGCCACACUGGAACUGAGACACGGUCCAGACUCCUACGGGAGGCAGCAGUAGGGAAUCUUCCGCAAUGGGCGAAAGCCUGACGGAGCAACGCCGCGUGAGUGAUGAAGGUCUUCGGAUCGUAAAACUCUGUUAUUAGGGAAGAACAAAUGUGUAAGUAACUAUGCACGUCUUGACGGUACCUAAUCAGAAAGCCACGGCUAACUACGUG